GAAAACAGUCCAGACCGCCAGAUAAGGUCCCAAAAUGUAUGCUAAGUGGAGAAGGAUGUGGAGAUGCAUAAACAACCAGGAUGUUGGCUCAGAAGCAGCCAUCAUUAAAAGAGUGCGUAAUAGCUCACUGGUCGAGUGACUCUGCGCCGAAAAUGUACCGGGGCUAAGCAUACUACCGAAGCUGCGGAAUAUAGCGAAUAACUAUUUUGGUAGGGGAGCGUUCUAUACGAGAAGAAGAUUGACCGGAAGGACAGUUGGAUUGUAUAGAAGUGAGAAUGCCGGUGUAAGUAACGAUAAGACGGGUGAGAAUCCCGUCCGUCUGAAACCCAAGGUUUCCAGGGGAAGGUUCGUCCGCCCUGGGUAAGUCGGGGCCUAAGGGGAGUCCGAAAGGAGUACCUGAUGGAUAUUUGGUUUAUAAUCCAGAACUACUUAAUAAACUGAUGGAGAGACGAAGGAGGCAGGGAUGCACCUCUUAGUGGAUUUUGGUCAAGAUAACGAGGAAUAGUGGAGAGGAAAAUCCGCCACCUUAUCUGAGUUAUCGAGGUAAGGCUAUACCGAGUCAUACUUCCAAGAAAAACUUCUAAAGAUAUUAAUUAAGUACCCGUACCGUAAACCGACACAGGUGGGUGAGAAGAAAAUUCUAAGACGCGCGAGAAAACCCUUGUUAAGGAACUCGGCAAAAUGACCCCGUAAGUUAGCGAGAAGGGGGACUUAUAGAGAUAUAAGUCGCAGAGAAGAGGCCCAAGCAACUGUUUAACAAAAACACAGGUUUGUGCAAAAUCGAAAGAUGAAGUAUACGAGCUGACGCCUGCCCGGUGCUGGAAGGUUAAGAGGAGAUGUCAGGCAACGANNCGGCGGCCGUAACUAUAACGGUCCUAAGGUAGCGAAAUUCCUUGUCAGGUAAGUUCUGACCCGCACGAAAGGCGUAAUGUCUUUGGGCGCUGUCUCAACAAGGGGCUCGGUGAAAUCAUAUUACCGGUGAAAAUGCCGGUUACCCGCGACUAGACGGAAAGACCCCAUGGAGCUUUACUGUAGCUUGAUAUUGAUACUUGGUAUGUGAUGCACAGGAUAGGUGGGAAACUAUGAAGUUAGGACUUUGGUCUUGAUGGAGUUGACGUUGGGAUACCACCCUUUGCAUAUUGAGCGUCUAACUAGUGUAAGUGGAUUACAAAGGACAGUGUCAGGUGGGCAGUUUGACUGGGGCGGUCGCCUCCUAAAGAGUAACGGAGGCGCUCGAAGGUUCCCUCAGAAUGGUUGGAAAUCAUUUGAAGAGCGUAAAGGCAUAAGGGAGCUUGACUGUAAGAGAGACAACUCGAGCAGGGACGAAAGUCGGACUUAGUGAUCUUGCGGUACCGUAUGGAAGGGCCGUGACUUAACGGACAAAAGCUACCCUGGGGAUAACAGGCUGAUCACGCCCAA
rnacentral:rRNA from 1 species